GUGAGCUACCAACCAACAAACCCCAGGCUUCACAAUACACCUCAACAAUGUGUUGAUAAUACGUCACUUAAUCAAGAUAAAGCGCUAAAUCAGCAGGAAUCACUCAGUACCUGUUGGUGCGAGGCAAUCUGUUUCAAUCCUAAGAAGAGAUGAUAAGUUUGUAUUUCAAGAGUCCCUUAACAUCAGAGCAAAAAGGUUCAGAAUCGCUGCAGAGAAGAGCUCGAAGUCUCACAGCUCUCAGUGGUUCAGUCGAAAUAAGGCUUGACUUCAGUUAUAGUUUAAACGCUUGUCGAGGUGGAUGUCACGUGAGUGUAGAGACGGAUGUCAUGCAAGUGUAGAGAGAGAUGUCACGAGAGUGUAGACACAGAUGCUGGGGAUGUAGGAAGUCGGAUGCUGUUCUUCUGAAAUCAGAGGAGAGUUUGGAAGAGAAAACGGAAAACUGAUAUCUUACGUCAAUGGGUGUCCAGGAGACGACGAAGACGACGGUGAUGACGAGGAGAACGGUAACCAUCUGCAUCUCCAGUUCUCUCUGUCUGUAGGUGCGAUGGGGAGCACAGAAGCUUGUGUCCGAGCACCGCUGCCUGCACAGCCGGAGACACAGCAGGGUCGCUGGUGGUCGCAGGCAGCACCACCGAGAGAUCAGAGAGAGAGAGAGAAAGAAAGAGAGAGAGAAAGAGAAAAAUAAUUUCAUUAAACAGUAAUCGUCAGU